rnacentral:tRNA from 1 species
GAUCUCGGGGGGGGGCCCGUCUUUAGUUUACAAGUCUAAUGCUUUAUUUUAAGCUACCGAGAU